rnacentral:rRNA from 1 species
AACGAACGUUAGCGGCGCGCUUAACACAUGCAAGUCGAACGAGAAAGGGCUUCGGCCCCGGUACAGUGGCGCACGGGUGAGUAACACGUGGGUAAUCUACCCUCGAGCGGGGGAUAACGUUCCGAAAGGAGCGCUAAUACCGCAUAAGACCACGCUCUCGAAAGGGAGCGAGGUAAAAGUAGGCCUCUGAAUUCACGCUUACACUCGAGGAUGAGCCCGCGGCCCAUCAUGGUAGUUGGUAGGGUAAUGGCCUACCAAGCCGAAGACGGGUAGCUGGUCUUAGAGGAUGAUCAGCCACACUGGAACUGAGACACGGUCCAGACUCCUACGGGAGGCAGCAGUGGGGAAUCUUGCGCAAUGGGCGAAAGCCUGACGCAGCGACGCCGCGUGGGUGACGAAGGCC